rnacentral:rRNA from 1 species
UGAGUACAGCGGCGCACGGGUGAGUAACACGUGGGUAAUCUGCCCUGGAGUGGGGAAUAACACCGGGAAACCGGUGCUAAUACCGCAUACGAUCACGAGGUCUGCGGAUUUUGUGAUGAAAGGAGCAAUUCGCUCCAGGAGGAGCCCGCGGCUGAUUAGCUAGUUGGUGAGGUAAUGGCUCACCAAGGCUACGAUCAGUAUCCGGUCUGAGAGGACGGUCGGACACACUGGAACUGAGACACGGUCCAGACUCCUACGGGAGGCAGCAGUGGGGAAUUUUUCGCAAUGGGGGAAACCCUGACGAAGCAACGCCGCGUGGGUGAUGAAGUCUCUUGGGACGUAAAACCCUUUCGACGGGGAAGAAACCGCAAGGUUGACGGUACCCGUAGAAGAAGCCCCGGCUAACUCCGUGCCAGCAGCCGCGGUAAUACGGGGGGGGCAAGCGUUGUUCGGAAUUACUGGGCGUAAAGGGUGCGUAGGCGGUUCGUUAAGUUAGAUGUGAAAACUCUGGGCUCAACCCAGAGCCUGCAUCUAAAACUGGCGGGCUAGAGUUCUGGAGGGGGUAGUGGAAUUCCUGGUGUAGCGGUGAAAUGCGUAGAUAUCAGGAGGAACACCGGUGGCGAAGGCGGCUACCUGGACAGAAACUGACGCUGAAGCACGAAAGCUAGGGGAGCAAACAGGAUUAGAUACCCUGGUAG